AACACGUAAACAAUCUGCCCUUCAGUUCGGGAUAACGUCUCGAAAGGGACGCUAAUACCGGAUAAUAUUUUUCCUCGCAUGGGGAAUUAUUGAAAAUUGGCCUCUAUUUAUAAGCUAUGCUGGAGGAUGAGUUUGCGUACCAUUAGUUAGUUGGUAGGGUAACGGCCUACCAAGACCGCGAUGGUUAGCCGGCCUGAGAGGGUGAACGGCCACAUUGGGACUGAGACACGGCCCAGACUCCUACGGGAGGCAGCAGUAGGGAAUUUUCCGCAAUGGGCGAAAGCCUGACGGAGCAAUGCCGCGUGAACGACGAAGGCCUUCGGGUCGUAAAGUUCUGUCAGAUGGGAAGAAGGAUUAUUAUGCGAAUAGCUUAAUAGUUUUGACGGUACCAUCAGAGGAAGCUACGGCUAAUUACGUGCCAGCAGCCGCGGUAAUACGUAAGUAGCAAGCGUUAUCCGGAAUUACUGGGUGUAAAGGGUGUGUAGGCGGCUUUUCAAGUCUUGUGUAAAAUACCACGGCUCAACCGUGGACCUGCAUGAGAAACUGGAAGGCUUGAGUGGAUGAGAGGUAACUGGAAUACCUGGUGUAGUGGUGAAAUAUGUAGAUAUCAGGUAGAACACCGAUGGCGAAGGCAGGUUACUGGCAUCCCACUGACGCUGGGACACGAAAGCAUGGGGAGCGAACGGGAUUAGAUACCCCGGUAGUCCAUGCUGUAAACGAUGUUCACUAGGUGUAGGGGGUAUCGACUCCCUCUGUGCCGGAGUUAACGCAUUAAGUGAACCACCUGGGGAAUACGAUCGCAAGAUUAAAACUCAAAGGAAUUGACGGGGGCCCGCACAAGCGGUGGAGUAUGUGGUUUAAUUCGAAGCAACCCGAAGAACCUUACCAGGGCUUGACAUUUCAGGAAAUCCAUGGAAACAUGGCCCUCUCCUUAUGGAGACCUGAGGACAGGUGUUGCAUGGUUGUCGUCAGCUCGUGUCGUGAGAUGUUGGGUUAAGUCCCGCAACGAGCGCAACCCCUAUCUUUAGUUACCAGCGGAUAAUGCCGGGCACUCUAGAGAAACUGCCGGUGACAAACCGGAGGAAGGUGGGGAUGACGUCAAAUCAUCACGGCCCUUAUGUCCUGGGCUACACACGUACUACAAUGGCGCGUAUAGAUGGUCGCGAAGCCGCGAGGCAGAGCCAAUCCCAAAAAGCGCGUCCCAGUUCGGAUUGCAGGCUGAAACUCGCCUGCAUGAAGUCGGAAUCGCUAGUAAUCGCGGAUCAGCAAGCCGCGGUGAAUACGUUCCCGGGCCUUGUACACACCGCCCGUCACACCACCUGAAUUGAUUGCACCCGAAGUCGUGUAUCUAACCGUAAGGAAGAAAGCGCCGAAGGUGUGGUUGGUAAGGGGGGUGAAGUCGUAACAAGGUA
rnacentral:rRNA from 1 species